GCCCUUCCGAAAUCCGCGCGGGCGUCCUAUAUUCGGUUCGCUGGCGACGGUCAGCUAUGGCGAUAAAUGGUCGGCGUAAUAAACCUUUCGGACCCGGGGGCGGUACCCGGCGCCUCCACCAGAGCCCACGCGAACGAGCGUGGGUUGCGGCGGGGGCGAAAUAGGAUCGACGAGGGUGUAAAGGUCGUUCUUUCGCUCGGCAUGGUACCGCCGAUAUCGGACCAAACCUAUAGUUGCGAAUGACAACUAUGCUCCGGUGGCUGUCGCCGCGUAAUGCGGUGCCGGUAACGGAAAUCAAGUCCUGAGGGGUAGCACUUUCAGGCGGGGUCCGAGGGCACCUGGCAACAGAAGCCCUCACU
rnacentral:tmRNA from 1 species